rnacentral:tRNA from 1 species
GAAAGAGGCCCGAGGCAAUAAGGACUGCUAAUCCCUAUCCCCGUAGUUAAAUUCUACGGCUCAUUCA